GGCUUGCUGGUCUAGUGGUAUGAUUCUCGCUUAGGGUGCGAAAGGUCACGGGUUCGAUUCCCGUGCAAGCCC
rnacentral:tRNA from 1 species